ensembl:lncRNA
AUGAUAGAAUUUACAUUUUUGGGUGAACUGUCCCUUUAAGAAGCACUAAAGAAUCACUUUUAGUGUAUUAAGUGAGCAGAAAUAGAGCUGAUUAUGUAAGUCGUGAAGCCGCAUGUCUUGUGUUUCUGGUGCUGGUGGAGCUCCUGGAGAGUCACGCAGGGUUCUGUUCGCUCGAUCCGAUUUGUUUAUUAUUAAUUAUAGGCAAUGUUCACGCUAUGCAACAUUUGAACACGAACGAGUGCUCGAACAAACCUGAUUUAAAACACACAACUGAAUUGAGAACGAAUCAUGAAGGUGAAUCUUUACUGUAGCUGCUCUGAAAUUUGGAAUUUGAGAUUUGGAAUUAUUUUCAAAUGAUGGAAUUUACUUUCAUACCAAAGAUUAUUGGUUAGUUUAGACAUGAGAUGUAUUUUUUCAGAUAUUUGUAGCCUUUAAAUGUUUUUUUCUCUGUCGUCUGACCAGGUCUCAGUUCUCACACGUAUGAAAGGGCUUUCUGCGUUUAAACGCUCGGAUGGAGAGACGCUUGGUUUUCGUUUACGUUUGAUCUGUUUUUGAGUUUGGAGAAGGGAUCUAGUUUUCUUUAAAAAAAAAAAAAAAAGAGAGAGAAUGAAAUGUCAGGAUGGAGAGUUCUUUUGCAAACUAUUCUAUUUAUUUAUUUGUGGGUGUGAUAUUUAUUGUGAGUUUCCUGGUCGAGGCGCUUGGGUUACUCUGCAUCCUGUCUUCUUCCGGAGCGUCUCCGUGGGUUCGGCCUCUUCUGUGGUAGUGUGCUCAGGUGUGUGUAUCUCAGGUAACAUCACGCUCAGGUGCUGUAGAGAGCUGAGGUUCAGACGUCCUCUGUUCACUAGUUUUGCACGAAUGAAUGAAUUUCUGGAUAAAGUCAGUCCUCCGGAGACCAGCGCAGAACAGACAGAAGAAACCAGGAGGAGGAGGAGGAGUCUUGCCUUUUUUGAAGCAAAUACAUAUCUGAGAUAUUUUUGAAAGAAAAAAAUGAUUUGCAUUAUAUGAAAAAUGAAUCUUUAAUGACAUUUGUAAGUCUAGCUUUAGCCGCCUUCAUCUAUAAUCUGCAGGAGACGCUCGCCAUCGAUCGAUUAUUCUGGGGUUUUCGUCUGGUGUGUGUUACUGUACUUCUGACAGUAGGGAAACUACCCAGAGGUUUAUUUGCACUAAAACUAAUCUUUGUGUCGUGAAAUGACUUGUUCAUUAUGAAUGUAAAUCUUCAAUAUCUUCUUUGCAUCUUAAAUAUUAAGUACUUUGCAGAAGUUCUGAUUUUUUUUUUUAAUGUAAAAGGUCAAGCUGCCUUAGUUUGUUUUAUUUUUUUUGCAACUAUUCUCAGGAAAUCUUGAGCCAUGCACUAAGUGCAUAUGCAGAUAUUAAUUUAUUGUAAAUAUUUGUGCUUGGAAAUAUGAACGGCUUGUUGUUAAGUUAAGUUUCUUUACAUCUGUCUUGUUUAUUCAUUGUUGUUUUAUAUCAAAAGCAAAGUUUUGAUUGUGUUUGGGGUUUAUUCAGGGAUCUGUGUUCUGUUCAUAGAAUGAAAUCUUUCUCAGCGAUGGCAAAUCAUUUCGCAUAUUGUACAAAUAAUGAGCAAAUAAACAAAGAUUAAUGUAUGAAUAGACUGUGCUGCCUCCUGCUGGCCCUUUCAUUUGUCAGAGAGUUUGGUGUUUCUAUAUUUUGUGGUGAAUGUGUGUCUGCUGCACUCUGAUAAAGAGAU